ensembl:lincRNA RIKEN cDNA F730311O21 gene
GUGGAGCUGUGGGGUGAAUCUGGAGGGUUGGGUGAGCUUCCGCAAUGCAUACUGGGUGUGGUGCUGAACCCCAGGAGUCCUGAACUAAACAGAAUAUACACUGCCCUUCAAAGCCUGGAGGUCCAGGGGAGGAGAUUUAUGACAGUGACGACUGCCCCAAUCUCCUAGGGAGUUUCCUCUUGAUACUGCUGCAGUUUCGUGGUACCGGGGCUUCAGGUGUCAUCAGACAACAGGGCCACUGCACACCAUAACACGGGGUAACGUUUGGACGAAAACAUUUGGUACAGAAAGAUCCCAAAAUGUCACUGCCAAUUAAUUCUUUAACUGGCAGAGAAAAUGGACCCUAUCAAGACCCACAGACUGUAACAGGAAUGUCGGGCUCCCUCUGGCCACAGAGGUUUGAGAUGGAUGUCGUGAAGCCACAGAACACAACUGGAGGCAAAGCAUAGCUCAUGGUUUCUGGUGUUGGACCAGAAGGAAGGAUGGGGAAGUAGUUAGAUUGAGUUAGCUCCAGCCUGAGACUUUCACAGUCAUGUGAGUCCACUGAGAAGCAGACAGCACCCAGUAGGGUCUAAACAUGGAGCUUUGUGGAGGGGCACUAUAGGAAUGACAUCUGAACUCUCACCAAGGAAGGGAGUCAGUGACCCAAAACAAGUCGAGAGGAUUUUAGGGAGCAGGAAUUCCUUGGAAACCUUAAAAUGGAGAAGUCUGAGCCCAUGUGUAACACUCAUAUCCACUGAUGGGCUCCACACACUGCUGCCCUCCAGCCCAGGCAAUAUGUGGCCUCGGGGUGGAUGCUCUGGCCUAGUAUGGAGUCUGUAGCCUUUGGACAGACCACAGCCAGAAGCCAGCUCCUUUUCCCUUGAUUCUGGGGUUCAGGCUCCACACUUAGGCCUUUUGGGAGCCCUAAGGGAGUAAGAAAAUUGAUGUAGUAGCCCAGACUGGCUUCUGUGACCCUGGGGAAGUCACUGCUUUUUUUCUGGGCCUUGGCUUAGUGCUUGUUUGAGGACAAUCUCUUGCUCCAGGUUCUGUUCCAGGUGAGGACCUGAACGAGGUAGGCAUGACCCUUACAACUGGUGUGAAGACCCAUUUGAGCAGGAAGCUGGUCUAGGUUGUUUUUCUAACAGCUUUCAGAUGGUCUAGCCUGUGACUCUUGGACUAUUGUCCAAGAUGGGAUGCUGGUGUCACACAGGAUGAUGGAACAGUUUCAGAGGAGAGAGUGGAUGCAGGUUCCACAGACUCUCAAGGGAAUUUUGGGACUGAACACUGAGUUUUAGGCUCCCGCUAAAGGAGGUCUUACCCUGCAGGCUAGUGUCCUGAGCAUGUCUCUUCAAGAGGGACUUCACCUCAUGUUCAGGUGAUAAGAUGACCAAGCUUGAGGUCUCUGUGUCAUCUUCCAGUUGGCCCGGCUUCCACAGGAGCAAUGGGUUCCCUUCUAGACACCAUGCAUAAGAACAAAGAGAUGGGAAUGUUUCCAGAAGUCACCGGCUUGGCUGUUAAAGGGCUAUUGUUUUUUUCAUGUGUGAACUCUUGGGGAUAAUCCCAAUGCCCAGCCCAUAGCACACCCUGCCACUGAACUACUCCCACAGCCUGUCCGAAGCCUUGCUGGAUGAAGAGAACCUAGGGUUGGUGGGCACUGGGGGCAGACAUUAAAUCCUUGAAGUGCUGCCUUGUGGAUUCCACAGGAAGGUAGAUAACUGAGCAAAAGACUAAGUCCUGACCUGUAUGGAGCAGAAUGGGAUUUGCCGGUGCCUCACAUAGUCUUUGUAAGAGUGAAGAAUUGCAGGCAGGAUUCAAACUCUCCAAGGAGGGGAUGACAGAAAGCGUAGUGCCAUUCCCCUGGGACUGGGAGAGAGCAGGUGCCACCUUAUGAACAGGAGAGAAUGAGCUCUGGUCUCCUGUGGCCAUCUGCCUUCAGGAAGGGCGCUGCUCGCUCCUCCAGCCCCACUCCAUAAAGAUAGGCUUGUGACCUACUGUGGAGCAGGCAGACCGGAGGAGGGCUUGGGAAAGGAAGCCAAGACCCUUCCCUCCCACGCCACCAUGAGAGGCUGGUCAUUAGCUUGUAGUAUAGAAGUUGGACUGGGCUGGGCCAGGCCUGGGGGUGGGAUGGGAGGAUGGCUCCUCGAUGAGUCAUCAGACCCUGUCUGUCCCUUCUUCCUUGGGGGAGGGAAGCUGGGGAGACAAGCUGUAGCCAGCUGGGUUUGUGAAGGCAGUUUGGCCACCGGAUCCUCUCAGUUCUGUGGACAACCGGGGACUGGUUUCUUUAAGCUCCUUGUCCACAGUCCAGGACAUGGAGUUGGUGAACCACCUGAUCAGGGUGGAAGGCUCCAUCCAAAACCUAGUUGCCUGCUCGCACGGCUAAGGUGGCCGGCCGUGUCUCGGCCUUCGGAGAGACUGCUGGGCCCUGACUGGUACUCUGCAGGAGCUGCUUGCAUGUUUCCUGUGUGAUCACAGCUGAGCCCGAGAGGCCCACCCUCCCUCACACCCUUCGGAGCCUCCUUCCAAAUCUGUUCUCACCCAGCAGGCCUGUCCGCACCACACCCUCUCCCAGACUCCCAGGGAAGCCUGGGGACAAGAGGAGUAACUUUGGGUUGAGGCCCAACCUAUCCUCCAUCUUGCCCCAGUCAGCCUGAUGCUGUGUCCUGGAUGUCUUCUGGAGUAGGGACCACAGAAGCACAAGGUUAUCAUACAUCUGGGAAACAGAGUCCUUGAAGGACAUAUGUAACAGGAGAAGCUAGUUUGCAGUAAAGGGGACAGCACAGUAGGAGUGUGUUACCAAACCCUGUCAGGCCUCCACUUUGGGGACAGUUUGGGACCACCUUAUGGUUUUUCUAGAGUGGUCUCUCUUUCCUCUUUCUGACUGGGAUGAAUAUAGGCAUGCAGAGGGUGGGGACAGUUGCCCUGGGCAGGCAGCAGUUUGGCUUGGGAGCCAAGGCAGAUGAGAACUGGAACUCCAGGGGCUUCAGCUUGUGCCAGCAGGAGCUGGAGAUGUGCCUAGGUCUCUCUGAGCCUCAAUUUCCCCAUCUGUAAAAUGACAGUAAUAACUAUCUCCUAAAGCAAGGCAUGUUAUCUAAUUUAAUUGAGGGGCAGCAGAACCAGGCAGCCCUAAAUAUGCCACUUUGGCUGAGGGUUUUAUGGAACAAAAGGUUCUUAAAAGCCUGCAGAUACGGAAGGACCUCUGAGGUCACCUUUUCUCCUUAUAUGGAAGAGAAGAAACAUUCCUGUUACAAGAAACAGGCUUGAGGCUGGAAAAUGUCUCUACAAACCAACCUUGUUACAACAACUUCCUUCAUCCAGCUAUGGUUAUACAUGUCUGGAUUUCUAACACUUUGGAGAAAGAGGCAGGAGGAUUCCAAAUUGAAGCCAAUCUGGUUUCUAUGGUGACUUUUAGGUCGGCUUGGGGUCUUUAUAAAAAGACACCCCCAUCCCCCGCCUCUGGGUACAUUUUAAUUAUCAAUACAUUUCACUACUACCAUGUGAAGAUUUGGAGGGGGGUCAUUUGGGUUCUUAAUUUUCUUGGAAGUUUUCCAUGCACGUGUAAAAUAAAAUCUGUAGGUUUCUCCUGUUGGUCUGACAUAGCUGACUUCUCAAGUCCAGCUGAAGUCUAUACUAAGGCAGGGCAGAGCGCUCCUCCCUACCAUUCAUAGCAGCACUUGGAGGCAGAUCCUCCACUGUCCUGGAAGUAGCUCUGUAGAUCAGGCUGGCCCUGAACUCAGAGGUCUACUUGCCUCCGCCUCCUGAGUUCAGGGAGUAAAGGUGUGCGCUAGGCCAGAGGUGAAGUUGUGAACAGGCUGUCAUUGGGAACUGACCGCAGGAACUGCUCUUGGGAGUCGGCUGCUGUCAAGGGGCAGCUUCGAGAACACAGAGAUGAGCUGAAGGGUCGUUUUUCGCCUGCUGUGGUUUGUCCCCUGAAAGGCUCACAUGCUGAAUGAAGGUGGAACCUUGUUAGGGGAGAUCAAUCUUUGAGGUGUAUCUGUGGCGGCUGUAGCUUGUCAGGAUGCUGCCCUCUCUGCGCCCUCUGCAGCCUCCUCCACCACAUGCAGAGGACACUACAAUGCUGCCCUACCUGACCAUCUCACUAGUCAAUCAGCCCAUCACUGACCGAAAUCCCUGCAACCAUGGGCUGAAAAAGCCUUCCUUCCUUUCAAUGUGCAGUGUCUGUCACAAUAACCAAGGUAACACAGUGCCCUUCCCUGGACCACGAUGCCCCUUAUCGGAGGAGAGCACAGGUGGGUGGAGUCGGGACAGGAGAACUUCUGGAGGGUCCGAAGUGGCUGGAGGCUUACACGAAGGGACCAGCCCAAGGACUUGCAGCGAUGCUUGCUGGGACAUUGGAUGAGGGGAAAGUUUUGAGCAACAAGUGUUGACACUUAGGAGUAAAAGUUCAGUGGGUAAGGCGCCCGCACGUGGAGGUGGGAGGAGGGGGCAGCAGGGACAUAGCAUGGGUGCGUGGCAAGCUGUGGCCGUGUGUCCUCGGGGGCUGGUGUUGAGUCUAUUUCACACUACUCUCACUCCUGUGAUAUUUACGUUUUUACCAAUGAGUAGUCAGGUGUAGUGCCGCAAUCGUUUAGCCUGAAUGCUUAAAAAAUAGACAGCCGCAGGUGGAUCUCUGUGAGUUCAAGGCCCACCAAGGCUACAGAGUGAGGAGGCCCUGCCUCAAAAGCAAAACAAAACACAUUUUUACCAACACUAUACCUGACUCAAACUUUCCUCUCUCUCUCUCUCUCUCUCUCUCUCUCUCUCUCUCUCUCUCUCUCUCUCUCUCUGAGAUGGGUCCUAUUAUGCAGCUCUAGCUGCCUUGAACUUGUAACAGUCCUCCUGACUCAGCCUUCUGUGAGGCGUAAUUAGAGACUUGUGCCACUAUGCACGGCAAGCUUGUAAUUUUUUUAAGGAAAAACUGGAAACCAGGGACUUGUGCCUGUGCCAGCG